rnacentral:rRNA from 1 species
CAAUAGCGUAUAUUAAAGUUGUUGCAGUUAAAAAGCUCGUAGUUGGAUUUCUGGUCGGAAGCUCCUGUCCUCUGAUGAGCGUACAAGUGCGUCCUACCAUCCUUCUGUUAACCUUUAAGGCUUUCGCGGCUUUCUAGGGGCUCAGAUAUUUUACCUUGAGAAAAUUAGAGUGUUUCAGGCAGGCUAGCGCCGGAAUACAUUAGCAUGGAAUAAUGGAAUAGGACUUUUGCCUCUUCUGUUGGUCAUGAGGCUCGAGUAAUGAUUAAUAGGGAUAGUUGGGGGCAUUAGUACUUAACUGUCAGAGGUGAAAUUCUCGGAUUUGUUAAAGACGAACUUAUGCGAAAGCAUUUGCCAAGGAUGUUUUCAUUAA